rnacentral:rRNA from 1 species
UAGGGAAUCUUCGGCAAUGGACGAAAGUCUGACCGAGCAACGCCGCGUGAGUGAAGAAGGUUUUCGGAUCGUAAAACUCUGUUGGUAGAGAAGAACGUUGGUGAGAGUGGAAAGCUCAUCAAGUGACGGUAACUACCCAGAAAGGGACGGCUAACUACGUGCCAGCAGCCGCGGUAAUACGUAGGUCCCGAGCGUUGUCCGGAUUUAUUGGGCGUAAAGCGAGCGCAGGUGGUUUAUUAAGUCUGGUGUAAAAGGCAGUGGCUCAACCAUUGUAUGCAUUGGAAACUGGUAGACUUGAGUGCAGGAGAGGAGAGUGGAAUUCCAUGUGUAGCGGUGAAAUGCGUAGAUAUAUGGAGGAACACCGGUGGCGAAAGCGGCUCUCUGGCCUGUAACUGACACUGAGGCUCGAAAGCGUGGGGAGCAAACAGGAUUAGAUACCCUGGUAGUCCACGCCGUAAACGAUGAGUGCUAGAUGUAGGGAGCUAUAAGUUCUCUGUAUCGCAGCUAACGCAAUAAGCACUCCGCCUGGGGGAGUACGACCGCAAGGUUGAAA